AAAUUAAUGUGCUUAUAAGCGGCUUAAUUUCGACUUAAGAGGUGAUUAUAUUAGUGUA
rnacentral:tRNA from 1 species